UACGUAGGUGGCAAGCGUUGUCCGGAUUUACUGGGUGUAAAGGGCGUGUAGGCGGAGCAGCAAGUCAGAUGUGAAAUCCCGGGGCUCAACCCCGGAACUGCAUUUGAAACUGUUGCCCUUGAGUAUCGGAGAGGCAGGCGGAAUUCCUAGUGUAGCGGUGAAAUGCGUAGAUAUUAGGAGGAACACCAGUGGCGAAGGCGGCCUGCUGGACGACAACUGACGCUGAGGCGCGAAAGCGUGGGGAGCAAACAGG
rnacentral:rRNA from 1 species